UGGGGAAUUUUGGACAAUGGGCGAAAGCCUGAUCCAGCAAUGCCGCGUGUGUGAAGAAGGCCUUCGGGUUGUAAAGCACUUUUGUCCGGAAAGAAAUCCUCUGGGUUAAUACCUCGGGGGGAUGACGGUACCGGAAGAAUAAGCACCGGCUAACUACGUGCCAGCAGCCGCGGUAAUACGUAGGGUGCAAGCGUUAAUCGGAAUUACUGGGCGUAAAGCGUGCGCAGGCGGUUUUGUAAGACGGAUGUGAAAUCCCCGGGCUUAACCUGGGAACUGCAUUCGUGACUGCAAGGCUAGAGUAUGGCAGAGGGGGGUUAGAAUUCCACGUGUAGCAGUGAAAUGCGUAGAGAUGUGGAGGAAUACCGAUGGCGAAGGCAGCCCCCUGGGCCAAUACUGACGCUCAUGCACGAAAGCGUGGGGAGCAAACAGGAUUAGGAUACCCUGGUAGUCCACGCCCUAAACGAUGUCAACUAGUUGUUGGGGAUUCAUUUCCUUAGUAACGUAGCUAACGCGUGAAGUUGACCGCCUGGGGAGUACGGUCG
rnacentral:rRNA from 1 species